CGGAAUGUUACCGUAGUCUGGUCGAACGGGCUUGCUUUGGGAGCAAGAAAUCGCCGCAGGUUCAAAUCCUGCCAUUCCGACCA
rnacentral:tRNA from 1 species